AAUUAGUUGAACUAAAAAGGUCUUACAAAAUUACCAACCAGUGUCCAGACAUUGUGUGAAAAAAAAUCUGUCAACUUCACUUAUUAUUCAUCCGUCAUUCCCUUUGAUCACUUCUUCUAUUUCUAAUUUUACAAAAUUUCCAAAAAAAUGUCCGAUAAUAAUUGUCAUAAGAACAUCACCUGUGUACCUUGUAACGACAUUAUAGAAAAGUUAAAAGAUGAUCCAAAAAAAGAAAACGAUGGGAACUGCGCGAAUUGCAUAUGUGGAAAAAACUGCUCGAACACAGACAAUAUGAAUAGAAAGGAAGAUCAACCCAAAAACUAAAAAGAGUCGAAAACCAUCGGAAUUGGAACCUAGAUCAUGGAAUUCGAAGAAAUGGUAAAAUAGUUGGAAAAGCAAAAUCUAAAUUAAAGAUGACUGUGUAAUAAAUAGAUUGGACUUGU